GAUGAACGCUGGCGGCGUGCCUAAUACAUGCAAGUCGAGCGAACAGACGAGGAGCUUGCUCCUCUGACGUUAGCGGCGGACGGGUGUGUAACACGUGGAUAACCUACUUGUAAGACUGGGAUCACUUCGAGAAACCGGAGCAAAUACCGGAUAAUAUACUGAACCGCAUGGUUCAAUAGUGAAAUACGGUUUUGCUGUCUCUUAUAGAUGGAUCUGGGCCGCAUUAGCUAGUUGGUAAGGUAACGGCUUAGCAAGGCAACGAUGCGUAGCCGACCUGAGAGGGUGGUCGGCCACACUGGAGCUGAGACACGGUCCAGGCUCCUGCGGGAGGCAGCAGUAGGGAAUCUUCCGCAGUGGGCGAAAGCCUGACGGAGCGGCGCCGCGUGAGUGAUGAAGGUCUUCGGAUCGUAAAACUCUGUUAUUAGGGAAAAACAACUGUGUAAGUAACUAUGCACGUCUUGACGGUACCUAGUCAGAAAGCCACGGCUAACUACGUG
rnacentral:rRNA from 1 species